rnacentral:rRNA from 1 species
CGGUCACACUGACACUGACAUACGGGUCAGACUCCUACGGGAGGCAGCAGUCGGGAAUUUUGGGCAAUGGGCGAAAGCCUGACCCAGCAACGCCGCGUGAAGGAUGAAAUCCCUCGGGAUGUAAACUUCGCAAGAACGGGAAGAAUAAGCGAGAGUUAAUAUCUUUCGUGAUGACGGUACCGUUUGUAAGCUCCGGCUAACUCCGUGCCAGCAGCCGCGGUAAUACGGGGGGAGCAAGCGUUGUUCGGAU